rnacentral:misc_RNA from 1 species
AACGCACCUUGCGCUCCUUGGUAUUCCGAGGAGCAUGCCUGUUUGAGUGUCAUGAAAUCAUCAACCCCUCCGGCAUUUUGGUGUCGUGUGGUGGCUUGGAAUUGGGGGUUCUGCUGGCCUUUGGUCGGCUCCCCUUGAAUGCAUUAGCUCGGCUUUCCUGGCGGACGUCACUGCGUGAUAAUUAUCUACGCUUUGAUUGCUCUGUGGGGAGCUCUUGGGUCGGGCUUAUAAUUGUCUUAGGACAGCUUUCUUUCAUUUUGACCUCAAAUCAGGUAGGACUACCCGCUGAACUUAA